UACAGAGACUGCAAGCGUUAUUCGGAUUCACUGGGCGUAAAGGGUGCGCAGGCGGCCAAGUGUGUGAGGCGUGAAAGCCCGGGGCUUAACCCCGGAAUUGCACCUCAAACUACAUGGCUAGAGCAUUGGAGAGGGUAGCAGAAUUCAUGGUGUAGCAGUGAAAUGCGUAGAUAUCAUGAGGAAUACCAGAGGCGAAGGCGGCUACCUGGACAAUUGCUGACGCUCAGGCACGGAAAGCGUGGGGAGCAAACAGG
rnacentral:rRNA from 1 species